UGUUUUUGUAAUUUUCAUUUUAUCCUUAUAAUUGCUGUGAAAUUAUAUAUGUUUGAUGAAUCAGUCGAUGUCCUAAUGAGAAAUUGCUGUGAAAUUGAUGUGUUCUUGUGUUGAGUGUGAACCCCUUAGAAAAAUUAAGCUUUUUUUAUUAACGUAAAUUAUAUUUUAAAUAAUAUUAUUCAAUGACUUAUUUUAUACAAAUUAUUAUCUUGUUCUAAUUAGAUUGUUUUAGUUAUUGAAUUGUUUUUAUAGCUAAUUAUAUGAUUACUAUUACAAGUUGUAAACUUGAAAUUACUUUGCAUAUAGGAACUUUGUAGGAGAAAUAAAGAAAUUCGAAGCAAACAAGUUAUUCCACACACCGGUGGAUCCAAAGCUAAUCCUAGAAGAAGAAAUGAGUUGGUAAUGACACUAAAUGUUAACUUUUACUAAUUAAAGAAGUUCAAUGUUUACUUACUCUUUAUUUAUCUUAAUUGUUAGAAACUAGGAAGCUAGCAAGUUGUGGACAAUUAUAUAUUGAAACUCAUAAAAGGAAAGAUGAAUCAUUUGUAAAUGAAGCAGCAAAGACUAUAGCGGAACAAAUUGAAGUAGGAUUGACUCAAAACAUAGUUGAUGAAUCUGAAGCUUCUCCUCUUGAUGUUGUUGGUAUCCUAAAACUUCCAAAUGAUGCUUCAAGUGUUCCUAAUACACCUUUGGAUGCAAGGGGAUUUUCUGGUGCUAGCAACCAUUAGUUUGCUUAUAAUGUAUUUUGGAUUUAAAGUUUAGUACAAGACUAAUAUUACUUUGUUAUGGAUUUUAUGUCAUACUUUGAUUUACAAUAGAAAUUUGAAU